AGGGUAGCUCAGUCGGUUAGAGCACAGGACUCAUAAGCCUGAGGUCGUGGGUUCGAAUCCUACCCCGGGAGCCA
rnacentral:tRNA from 1 species